ACCACGCCGCUACCUGCCGCUGCUGCUUGCGCCGCGCUUCCUCCGCCGUUGGCGCUGUGCCAAGCACGGUUGAGGCAAGUCCUUGCAACGCUCUCGUAACAUUCUCUCUUAUUCUGCUUAUUCUCCAAGUAGAGGAAACAGACCCGGAAAGUUCAUUUGACUUGUCGGAGUGUCUUCCUUCCCCCGCCUCGCUGUGAGGCCGCUAUGUCUGCUCACCCCCUGGUGCUUCACCCACACUAACUGCAGUUUCUCUCAGACACCGAUAUCCUGCAUUCCUAGAAGGGAAAAGCUGACCGAUUAUUAAAUGGUAUAAAUUCAAGAGACAACCCUAAAUAGGCACCGAAACAGCCAUUAUGUGCUGGGGGAACGUAAGGAACAGACAAUCCUGAAUCCAGCUCUCGCUUCAGAUUAAGUGAGGGAAAGAGCCCCUAAACCCACUGUUGCAAGUGGAGUGACGAGAGCAACAAUGUGGUGCCUCACAGUUUUUCACAGCCAUCAUUUCAUUUAAUCCUCAAAACAGUCUUAUGAAAUUAGUAUUACUGUCUUCAUUUCACGGAUCAGGAACUGAGCAGUAGCUUGGCGGAGUUGGUCGUGGUCACACAGGAAUGGAAUCAAGGUCUGGCCGAACCCGAAGCUCCUACAGUCAGGUUCUACACUGAUGUGUGCCCCGCAAGGACCCGCAGGGCGGCAGCCUGGCGUUCUGUCUGCCCGCCCUGGGAUGGAAGAAGGCCAAGAUGAAUAAAUGGGAUAAAUACCUACCUUAUGGGCAGCCAGAGAGAUUCACGAAAGCAGAGGGAAGGUAUAGAAGAGAGGUCAGGAGAUGUCAUUCUUCGUCUAGUUCUGACACUGCAUUGUCUUCACUCCCACCUGGGAGGUAAUCAAGAUGAUUACCAACUGGUUCGAAAACUUGGUCGGGGAAAGUAUAGUGAAGUAUUUGAGGCCAUUAACAUCACCAACAAUGAGAGAGUGGUUGUAAAAAUUCUCAAGCCAGUGAAGAAAAAGAAGAUAAAACGAGAGGUUAAGAUUCUGGAGAACCUUCGUGGUGGAACAAAUAUCAUUAAGCUGAUUGACACUGUGAAGGACCCUGUGUCAAAGACACCAGCUUUGGUAUUUGAAUAUAUCAAUAAUACAGAUUUUAAGCAACUUUACCAGAUCCUGACAGACUUCGAUAUCCGGUUUUAUAUGUAUGAGCUACUUAAGGCUCUGGAUUACUGCCACAGCAAGGGAAUCAUGCACAGGGAUGUGAAACCUCACAAUGUCAUGAUAGAUCACCAACAGAAAAAGCUGCGGCUCAUAGACUGGGGUCUGGCAGAGUUCUACCACCCUGCUCAGGAGUACAAUGUCCGUGUAGCAUCGAGGUACUUCAAGGGACCGGAGCUCCUUGUGGACUAUCAGAUGUACGAUUACAGCUUGGACAUGUGGAGUUUGGGCUGUAUGUUAGCAAGCAUGAUCUUUCGAAAGGAGCCCUUCUUUCACGGACAGGACAACUAUGACCAGCUUGUUCGCAUUGCCAAGGUUCUGGGUACAGAUGAGCUGUAUGGGUAUCUGAAGAAGUAUCACAUAGACCUAGAUCCGCACUUCAACGAUAUCCUGGGACAACAUUCACGGAAACGCUGGGAAAACUUUAUCCACAGUGAGAACAGACACCUCGUCAGCCCUGAGGCCCUAGAUCUUCUGGACAAACUUCUGCGAUACGACCAUCAACAGAGACUGACCGCCAAAGAGGCCAUGGAGCAUCCCUACUUCUACCCCGUGGUAAAGGAGCAGUCCCAGCCUUGUGCAGACAAUGCUGUGCUUUCCAGUGGCCUCACGGCAGCCCGGUGAAAACUUGGAAGGCGACGGGUCUGUUGCGGUUCCUCCCACUUUUCCAUAAGCAGAACAAGAACCAAAUCAAACGUCUUAACGUGUGUAGAGAGAUCACGUUCCGUGAGCAGACACAAAAUGGUGGCAGGUUUGGCCAGCACGAACCAGACCAACUGAAGGGCAGCCCACCACCGUAUAUCAAACCUCACUUCCGAAUGUAAAAGGUUCACACGCCUUUGGCUUCCUGUUGACUUCCUCCUGACCCAGAAAGCAUGGGAAAUGUGAAGGGUGACUGUGGGAACCAGGUGUGGACACUCACAGUUUCUGAAGCAAUUGUGGGGGGAAAAGCAAAGAGGCCCCUCGGGGUCACCGCAGCAUCACAGUGUCCCUUGGAGCAGCUUCUGUCGUAUGCAAGCAGUUCCACAGGUGUGGGAGCCUGAGACAGUGCCUGCCCCCCGGACAUCAGCGAGGAGGGCCCGCAGGCCCACUGCCAGCAGACUUUGUAAGGCCGACAGGACGCCGAGUGGAUGGACUUGGGACUUUGCAGCACCAUCACUGGCCUGGUUUUCUCAAGUGGGCUCUCUCAUGCGGCCCUUCUGACUCAAGGCUCUGCAAAUGACCAGGUCUCUGGGGGACGGCAUCUCCAUAUCUUGGUCUAAUGAGCACGUCUCUGAAGCUCCUACCGACACGGUGCUUUGCAUGUGCAUGUUUGUCUACAUAGCACGUUCCCUUCGCAUUGACCCGCCAGCAUUUGAUAGCCUUCCCAGAGGAUAAGGGUCUGUCCAGAGUAGACACGGUUGAUUGACUUGGGAAUUCUUAGAUGCCAUGCAGAACUUGAAUGCUAGCUCCCCAUUUAUCCUCUCAACCAAGGUGCUCUUUAAUUUCCCAGUGGGAAAGUCUUCUUUUCCAGAAACCUCUCAAGCAUAUCAGAUAAGUUUCUUUUUUGUGUGGAUGAUUACUAUUGGGUGGGAGAGAGUUUUUGCUUAGGCUUUUUUGACCUUGAGGGAAGGGGACAAGGGACCUGCUUACCCAAAAACAGUCUGUAAAGCUCAUCCACAACGUGCUUGGAGAUCCAGAACAUCAAUUCACAUCUUUCAAUGUUCACGCUUGUGUUUUGGGCUGUUUAAUGUUUAUUUAACUUUUCUGAUGACCAAAGUAAUAAUGCUGGUGGCAAAAAAUUCAAAUGUUGCAAAAAGUAAAUCAUGAACACCUUCCCCCACCACACCCAACUCCCAUCCUACCACAAACACAUAGGAAAACUCUUUCCUCCCUUGGAGGAAGCCAUGGUUAAAUUUGGCAUCUAUCUUGUGGAAUUUCUUUCUUCACAUUUACUAACAUCAAGAUGAUUUUUAUUUUUACAGAAAUGUAAUCAAACUAUACAUCUUUUUUUUUUUUUUUUGCAACUUGUGCUUUCACUGAGUUGUGACAAUUUCACUGUUAGCACGUAAAGAUCUACCUCACCCCUUUUCAUGGCUGUGUGGUGUUCCAGUGUGUGAUGUACUACAUGCAAAGCAAUCCCUUACUGAUGAUUGACUCUAUUACCAGUACUGCUGCAGUGAACACAUUUGCACAUAACAUUUUUACACAGUUCAUUGUGUUUGUGAGAUAAAAUCUUUAAAAAGAAUUACUGUGCUCUAUGCUUUGUUUUGUUUUGGAAAGAGCAUUGCUAUGAUUCAGAGAAAGCAGUCUUCUCUUCCCUUCUUUCACUGGUGUAGGUCAGAACCGUGAUGCCUUUAGCCUUGGAAUUCUUGUGGGGCUCUGUUAGGCACUUGAGACACGGUGUCCAGAGUCUUUGAGCUUUCCAGGGAAACACGAAUGUUUGAAACCUGAAAAAGCAUUGGUGCUCACAUAAGAAAGCUACAAAGUAAAAAAUCAAUAAAUGUACUUACAUGUCUUUCCAAUCCUA